rnacentral:rRNA from 1 species
AGAGUUUGAUCAUGGCUCAGGACGAACGCUGGCGGCGCGCUUAACACAUGCAAGUCGAACGGAGCUCUUCGGGGCUCAGUGGCGAACGGGUGCGUAACACGUGAGCAACCUGCCUGGUCGUGGGGGAUAACCAGUGGAAACGCUGGCUAAUACCGCAUGAGCUCCUUGGCUCGAUUGGGCUGAGGAGGAAAGCUCCUGCAAGGGAGUGCGACCAGAGGGGCUCGCGGCGUAUCAGCUAGUUGGAGGGGUAACGGCCCACCAAGGCGAUGACGCGUAGCCGAUCUGAGAGGAUGAUCGGCCACAUUGGGACUGAGAUACGGCCCAGACUCCUACGGGAGGCAGCAGUGGGGAAUCUUGCGCAAUGGGCGAAAGCCUGACGCAGCGACGCCGCGUGCGGGAGGAAGCUUUUCGGAGUGUAAACCGCUGUCAGAGGGGAAGAAAUGCUGGGGGAGGAAAUGCUCCCAGUUUGACGGUACCCUCAAAGGAAGCACCGGCUAACUCUGUGCCAGCAGCCGCGGUAAUACAGAGGGUGCAAGCGUUGUUCGGAAUUACUGGGCGUAAAGCGCGCGCAGGCGGCCCUUUAAGUCUGUCGGUCAAACGCCGGGGCUCAACCCCGUGCUCGCCGCGGAUACUGGAGGGCUGGAGACAGGUAGAGGCAGGCGGAAUUCCGGGUGUAGCGGUGGAAUGCGUAGAGAUCCGGAAGAACACCAGAGGCGAAGGCGGCCUGCUGGGCCUUGUCUGACGCUGAGGCGCGAAAGCGUGGGGAGCGAACAGGAUUAGAUACCCUAGUAGUCC